GCCAGACUCCUACGGGAGGCAGCAGUGGGGGAUAUUGCACAAUGGGGGGAACCCUGAUGCAGCGACGCCGCGUGGGUGAAGGAGCGUUUCGGCGCGUAAAGCCCUCUCGGCAGGGAAGAAGGAGGACGGUACCUGACUAAGAAGCCCCGGCUAACUAAGUGCCAGCAGCCGCGGUAAUACGUAGGGGGCAAGCGUUAUCCGGAUUUACUGGGUGUAAAGGGGGCGCAGACGGCAGCGCAAGCCAGGAGUGAAAGCCCGGGGCCCAACCCCGGGACUGCUCUUGGAACUGCGCGGCUGGAGUGCAGGAGGGGCAGGCGGAAUUCCUGGUGUAGCGGUGAAAUGCGUAGAUAUCAGGAGGAACACCGGUGGCGAAGGCGGCCUGCUGGACUGCGACUGACGUUGAGGCCCGAAAGCGUGGGGAGCAAACAGGAUUAGAUACCCCUGUA
rnacentral:rRNA from 1 species